rnacentral:rRNA from 1 species
UACGGGGGGGACAAGCGUUGUUCGGAUUUAUUGGGCGUAAAGGGCGCGUAGGCGGGCCCACAAGUCGGAUGUGAAAACCACGGGCUCAACCCGUGGCCUGCAUUCGAUACUGUGGGUCUUGAGUAUCGGAGAGGAGUGUGGAAUUCCAGGUGUAGCGGUGAAAUGCGUAGAUAUCUGGAAGAACACCGAUGGCGAAGGCAGCACUCUGGACGAAUACUGACGCUGAGGCGCGAAGGCUUGGGGAGCAAACAGG